UCCCUAGUAGCUCAGAUGGUAAAGCAUCUGCCUACAAUGCAGCAGACCCAGGUUCAAUCCCUUGGUCGGGAA
rnacentral:tRNA from 1 species